UGGGCGUAAAGAGCUCGUAGGCGGUUUGUCGCGUCUGCUGUGAAAUCCCGAGGCUCAACCUCGGGCCUGCAGUGGGUACGGGCAGACUAGAGUGCGGUAGGGGAGAUUGGAAUUCCUGGUGUAGCGGUGGAAUGCGCAGAUAUCAGGAGGAACACCGAUGGCGAAGGCAGAUCUCUGGGCCGUAACUGACGCUGAGGAGCGAAAGGGUGGGGAGCAAACAGGCUUAGAUACCCUGGUAGUCCACCCCGUAAACGUUGGGAACUAGUUGUGGGGUCCAUUCCACGGAUUCCGUGACGCAGCUAACGCAUUAAGUUCCCCGCCUGGGGAGUACGGCCGCAAGGCUAAAACUCAAAGGAAUUGACGGGGACCCGCACAAGCGGCGGAGCAUGCGGAUUAAUUCGAUGCAACGCGAAGAACCUUACCAAGGCUUGACAUAUAGAGGAAACGGCUGGAAACAGUCGCCCCGCAAGGUCUCUAUACAGGUGGUGCAUGGUUGUCGUCAGCUCGUGUCGUGAGAUGUUGGGUUAAGUCCCGCAACGAGCGCAACCCUCGUUCUAUGUUGCCAGCACGUAAUGGUGGGAACUCAUGGGAUACUGCCGGGGUCAACUCGGAGGAAGGUGGGGAUGACGUCAAAUCAUCAUGCCCCUUAUGUCUUGGGCUUCACGCAUGCUACAAUGGCCGGUACAAAGGGCUGCAAUACCGUGAGGUGGAGCGAAUCCCAAAAAGCCGGUCCCAGUUCGGAUUGAGGUCUGCAACUCGACCUCAUGAAGUCGGAGUCGCUAGUAAUCGCAGAUCAGCAACGCUGCGGUGAAUACGUUCCCGGGUCUUGUACACACCGCCCGUCAAGUCAUGAAAGUCGGUAACACCUGAAGCCGGUGGCCCAACCCUUGUGGAGGGAGCCGUCGAAGGG
rnacentral:rRNA from 1 species